rnacentral:lncRNA from 1 species
AACGAAAAUCUAUUCACCUCUUACUACCCCGACAAUUCUAGGUCUACCUGCAGUAGUAUUAAUCAUUUUAUUUUCCCCUGUACUAUUUCCAACCUCCAGUCAUCUAAUCAGUAACUGAUUGAUUUCCAUUCAACAGUGACUAAUUCAACUUGUACUAAAACAAAUAAUAAUAACCCAUAAUAUUAAAGGAUGAACCUGAUCCCUUAUACUGAUCUCCCUAAUUCUCUUCAUUGCCUCAACCAAUCUCCUUGGGCUUCUACCCCAUUCAUUUAUACCAACUACCCAAUUAUCAAUAAACCUAGGUAUAGCAAUCCCCUUAUGAGCAGGCACAGUCAUUACAGCCUUCUGCUUCAAGACAAAAACCUCCUUAGCUCACUUUUUACCACAAGGCACACCUAUACCACUUAUCCCUAUGCUAGUGAUCAUUGAAACUAUUAGCCUAUUCAUUUAACCAAUGGCACCAGCUGUGCGAUUAACAGCCAACAUUACAGCUGGAAACCUGCUAAUACAUUUAAUCGGAGGAGCCACACUAGUUCUGUCAACUAUCAGUCUUCCCACAGCUUCAAUCGCUGUCAUUAUUCUAAUCCUACUAACCAUCCUCGAAUUCGCCGUAGCCCUCAUUCAGCCUACGUCUUAACACUGCUAGUAAACCUUUACCUGUACAACAACACA